UGCAACGUUUUUCUGCAAGACUGUUAAUCUUGAGGCCAAGGGUUCGAUCCCCUUCGUAGCAA
rnacentral:tRNA from 1 species